CAAAGAGAAGCAGACUGUGAAGUGGAGCAAAACUCAAAAACCGGUCCCAGUUCGGACUGCAGGCUGAAACUCGCCUGCACGAAGUUGGAGUUGCUAGUAAUCGCAGAUCAGAAUGCUGCGGUGAAUGCGUUCCCGGGUCUUGUACACACCGCCCGUCACACCAUGGAAGUUGGGGGUGCCCAAAGUCGGUUAGAAAAUAGACUGCCUAAGGCAAAACCAAUGACUGGGGUGAAGUCGUAACAAGGUAGC
rnacentral:rRNA from 1 species